rnacentral:lncRNA from 1 species
AUGAACUGGGAUAAACUGGGAGGGAGUGGGAUAAACUGGGAGACACUGGGAGAGACUGGGAUGAGCUGGGAUAAACUGGAAGGGACUGAGGUAAACUGGGAUGGACUGGGAUUAACUGGGAGGGACUGGGAGGUUCCCAGGGGUUCCCCAGUCCCGGCUCAGGUUGAUCCCAAAUCCCGAAUUUUGGGGAUCCCCAAACCCAGCCCAGGGGAUCCCGGAGGGGAUCCCAGAUCCCGAAUUCCACCCCGGGAAUUCCCAAAUUCCACCUCGGGGAAUCCCCAAAUUCCACCCCGGGGAAUUCCCAAAGGGAUUCCCCAAAUCCUGCCUGGGGUCCCCAAAUCCGACUCAGGUGAUUCUCGAGGGAUCCCCACGUUCGUUCCAGAGAAUUCCCAGUUUGGGAAUCACCACAUCCAGGUGGGGGAUCCCAAGGGGGAUCCCCAAAUCCCCCCCAGCUGUGACCAUGGAGGAGCUGCAGGACCCCCCCUUUUCCCAGGGGAUCCCUCACCUGUCCGAGGAGGAGGAAGAGGAGGAAGGGACAGGUGAGGAAGGAACAGGUGAACAACCAGGUGAGGAGGAAAUGCCAGGUGACGAUGAUGAUGAUGAAGACCCGGGUGACGAUGAAGACCCCGCUGAGGAGGAUCCAGGUGAUGAUGAUGAUGAAGACCCAGGUGAGGAAGAGCAGCAGGAGGAACCGGGUGAACCCUCCACCUCCCGCCCGCUCCCGCCCGCGCCGCGCCGGCCCCCCCCCCCCCCCCCCCCCCCCCCCCCCCCCCCCCCCCCCCCCCCCCCCCCCCCCCCCCCCCCCCCCCCCCC